rnacentral:rRNA from 1 species
UUACUCAAAGGGUUUGAUCCUGGCUCAGAAUGAACGUUGGCGGCGUGGAUUAGGCAUGCAAGUCGUGGGAGAACCCG